AGCGAACGCUGGCGGCAGGCUUAACACAUGCAAGUCGAGCGGGCGUAGCAAUACGUCAGCGGCAGACGGGUGAGUAACGCGUGGGAACGUACCUUUUGGUUCGGAACAACACAGGGAAACUUGUGCUAAUACCGGAUAAGCCCUUACGGGGAAAGAUUUAUCGCCGCAAGAUCGGCCCGCGUCUGAUUGGCUAGCUGUUACGGUAACGGCUCCCCAAGGCGCCGAUCAGUAGCUGGUCAGAGAGGAUGAGCAGCCACAUUGGGACUGAGACACGGCCCAAACUCUUACGGGAGGCAGGAGUGGGGAAUAUUGGACAAUGGGGGCAACCCUGAUCCAGCCAUGCCGCGUGAGUGAUGAAGGCCGUAGGGUUGUAAAGCUCUUUUGUGCGGGAAGAUAAUGACGGUACCGAAAGAAUAAGCCCCGGCUAACUUCGUG
rnacentral:rRNA from 1 species